GAUGAACGCUGGCGGCGUGCUUAACACAUGCAAGUCGAACGGAAAGGCCCCUGCUUGCAGGGGUGCUCGAGUGGCGAACGGGUGAGUAACACGUGGGUGAUCUGCCCUGCACUUUGGGAUAAGCCUGGGAAACUGGGGCUAAUACCGGAUAGGACGAUGUGUUGGAUGGCGUGGGGGGGAGUUUUUCGGUGGGGGAUGAGCUCGCGGCCUAUCAGCUUGUUGGUGGGGUAGUGGCCUACCAAGGCGUCGACGGGUAGCCGGCCUGAGAGGGUGUACGGCCACAUUGGGACUGAGAUACGGCCCAGACUCCUACGGGAGGCAGCAGUGGGGAAUAUUGCACAAUGGGCGGAAGCCUGAUGCAGCGACGCCGCGUGCGGGAUGACGGCCUUCGGGUUGUAAACCCCUUUCGCCAGGGACGAAGCGUAAGUGACGGUAACUGGUGAAGAAGCACCGGCUAACUACGUG
rnacentral:rRNA from 1 species